GCCGGUGUGGUGAAAUUGGCAGACGCAACGGAUUCAAAAUCCGUCGGGGCGACCCGUGUCGGUUCGAGUCCGACCACCGGUACCA
rnacentral:tRNA from 1 species